rnacentral:lncRNA from 1 species
AAAAAAUAGAUACCAAAAAUUAUUUCCACACUAUCAAUAAUAUUCUAUCCACAUUCCACAUAUAUAUAUAUAUAUAUAUAUAUAUAUAUAUAGAGAGAGAGAGAGAGAGAGAGAGAGAGUGUGAGUCUAGUACUAUACAAUCGGUAGUAUGGAGGCCUCCGUGCUACCGAUUGUUUUCAAUGAUACGGCUUCUGAAUCGAUGAUCAGCACCGCUAGACAUGAUCUAUUUUAUUAAAAAUAUUUAGUUUUCAAAUACUUUCAAUAGUAUCGAUUAAAUUUAACGGAGUUAAUCGUUGAUUUGAAGGUCAUAUCACUGAAAAUAAUUUGAUAGUACGGAAACCUCUGUGCGACCGAUAGUAUGGCAGCUUAGCUCUAUAUAUAUAUACUCAUUGAUGAUUAUUAUAGAGUAAUACUAUCUAUAAAUCCAAAAACGUAUAAAUUUUACGUUCCACUCACCGAAAGAUUACUUUUAUCCCAUCAAUGCUAUUUUUUAAUACAAAAAAAUUCAAA